rnacentral:rRNA from 1 species
UACGUAGGGGGCAAGCGUUGUCCGGAUUUAUUGGGCUUAAAGAGCUCGUAGGCGGUUCCGUAAGUCGUGAAGUCAAAUCUCUGGGCUCAACCCAGAAUCGCUUCCGAUACUGUGGUGACUGGAGUCCGGUAGGGGAGUGUGGAAUUCCUGGUGUAGCGGUGAAAUGCGCAGAUAUCAGGAGGAACACCAACAGCGAAGGCAGCACUCUGGGCCGGUACUGACGCUGAGGUACGAAAGCUAGGGGAGCAAACGGG